rnacentral:lncRNA from 1 species
ACGAGUUAUUAUUGUUAGUGGGCUGGGUCGUUACAUUUGGUAUCAGAGCCGGUUCACCAGCUGGACAUGUGUGGCGAGUCUCGGCUGAGCCAGGGUCUGGAUGACGGGCUAGCGAGACGAGUCUCACAUCGCCUGGUGAUCUUGGGCUGUGUGUACGAUUGGACUGACGAGGACGUCAGGGCCUUAACGGGGGGAGUCUGUGACACCCCAGUAGUCCCACAUUGGAUGGGAAAGGGGUUGUCAUUGGGCUUAUAAGAGACUUAGACACUAGUAAUAAUAACUGGG